UGGAAUGAGACUGAAUGUUGCUCUUC
rnacentral:piRNA from 1 species